rnacentral:rRNA from 1 species
AAUCAACGCUGGCGGCGUGCCUAACACAUGCAAGUCGAGCGAGAGGGAGUAGCAAUACUCUAGUAAAGCGGCGCACGGGUGAGUAACACGUGGGUAAUCUGCCUCGAGGUGGGGAAUAACACCGGGAAACCGGUGCUAAUACCGCAUAAUCUGACGGGAUCUGCGGAUUUUGUCAGCAAAGGAGCAAUUCGCUUUGAGAGGAGCCCGCGGCUGAUUAGCUAGUUGGUGAGGUAAUGGCUCACCAAGGCCACGAUCAGUAGCCGGUCUGAGAGGACGGUCGGCCACACUGGAACUGAGACACGGUCCAGACUCCUACGGGAGGCAGCAGUGGGGAAUUUUUCGCAAUGGGGGCAACCCUGACGAAGCAACGCCGCGUGGAUGAUGAAGUCUCUUGGGACGUAAAAUCCUUUCGACGGGGACGAAACCGCAAGGUUGACGGUACCCGUAGAAGAAGCCCCGGCUAACUCCGUGCCAGCCGCCGCCGUAAAAC